UAAACAGGGCCUUAGGGUGGCAAUGAUCUCUGGAAAUUUUGCAUACCCAACGUAUCGUGUGGGUCGUGUGUUUUUCCCAGCCCACAGAGAGACGGCCUUUUCCCGUUUUCUGUGGCCCGGACACCCACCGCCGGGCGGGCGGGACGGCGGCGUGCCUAGGGCGGGUAGAACUUAAUCGCGCCCGUGCCCGCGAUCUGAUUCUUAAGAGCAACUUUAUCCCGAUACCUUUUUAAGGAAAAAAACGAACUCCAACAGUCCAUCUAAACCUUUCCUAAUUUUUUCGCGAC
rnacentral:lncRNA from 1 species